rnacentral:misc_RNA from 1 species
GAUGAAGAACGUAGCGAAAUGCGAUAAGUAAUGUGAAUUGCAGAAUUCAGUGAAUCAUCGAAUCUUUGAACGCACAUUGCGCCCGCUGGUAUUCCGGCGGGCAUGCCUGUUCGAGCGUCAUUUCAACCCUCAAGCUCUCCGGAGUUUGGUGUUGGGGCGCCUGGGGCUUUUCGACCUCAGGGCCCUCAAGUCCAUCGGCGGGACCGCCAGGACACUGAGCGCAGUAGUAUUAUUUCGCUCGGUAGGAUCUUCCACGGCGGGUCGAUCUGGCCGCUAAACCCCCCAAUUCUCACCAAAGGUUGACCUCGGAUCAGGUAGGAAUACCCGCUGAACUUAAGCAUAUCAAUAAGAGGA